CACUUGCGCAGUUUGCAGAUCUGGUGCGUGCGGCGGUUGGUGCAGCUGGUGCAGGCCCCGCAGUUCUCCAGCCGCCGGCAAGGCUCACAGUGGCCAUAGCAAGUCGCAAGGUGGCCAGGAAGCACCGUGCCUGGAAGGAGAAGCAAACAUUUGGUUAUAACAGCACUAAUAACACACAGGGAAUAGCGGAUGUGGAUAUUCGAGGGGUGUAUAUGGAUCCCACCUCCGUGGAUUCAGACCUCCUGGGCGUGGCAGUCUCACCAGAGCCCUGGACUUGAAAAGAUGGGGUGCUUGGACUAUCCUGCAGCCUAUCAAGAGAAGAAGUUCCAAAGUCUAGGCUCUCCAGGUGUGACAGGUGGGCCCGCAGCAGCUGCAGCCCUGACGGUGUGCAGAAGAGCAGACUCUCAGGAGGCCCCGGAGCUUCUGAAUCAGGCUCUGCAUUCCAAAGAGCCUUCCAGGUUGUCCUCCUGAAGACAGGACUAGGCCAAUGACCCACAUCCGCCUGUCACUGGCCAUUCCAAACCACAAUAAAGGACGAAUUUGAACAUCCAACUUUUGGAAAACAAUGUAAUUAUUUAUGCUGAACCAAAGCCUUUCAGACAGAAAAGGGGUGUAAAGGCAGAAAGAGCCACAGUGAACAUACAGAUUAGUGCCUCAAACAGGA